rnacentral:rRNA from 1 species
AAUCUUGCGCAAUGCGCGAAAGCGUGACGCAGCAACGCCGCGUGGGUGAAGACGGCCUUCGGGUUGUAAAGCCCUUUCAGUUGGGACGAAGCUGUGCCGGUGAAUAGCCGGCCGCAGUGACGGUACCUUCACCAGAAGCCCCGGCUAACUACGUGCCAGCAGCCGCGGUAAUACGUAGGGGGCAAGCGUUGUCCGGAAUCAUUGGGCGUAAAGCGCGUGUAGGCGGUUCGAUUAGUCUGCUGUGAAAGUCGGGGGCUCAACCCUCGAAAGCCGGUGGAUACUGUCGGGCUAGAGUGCGGAAGAGGCGAGUGGAAUUCCUGGUGUAGCGGUGAAAUGCGCAGAUAUCAGGAGGAACACCAAUUGCGAAGGCAGCUCGCUGGGACGUUACUGACGCUGAGACGCGAAAGCGUGGGGAGCAAAC